UACCAGCUCUUCGAGUGGUGUGGAUGUUUAUUGGGCCUAAAGCAUCCGUAGCUGGCUAAGUUAGUCCCUUGUUAAAUCCACCGAAUUAAUCGUUGGAUUGCGGGGGAUACUGCUUGGCUAGGGGACGAGAGAGGCAGACGGUAUUUUCGGGGUAGGGUGAGAUCCUAUAAUCCCGGGAAGACCACCAGUGGCGAAGGCUGUCUGCUAGAACGCGCCCGACGGUGAGGGAUGAAAGCUGGGGGAGCG
rnacentral:rRNA from 1 species